CAGCCGCCGCGGUAAUACAGAGGGUGCGAGCGUUAAUCGGAUUUACUGGGCGUAAAGCGUGCGUAGGCGGCUUUUUAAGUCGGAUGUGAAAUCCCCGAGCUUAACUUGGGAAUUGCAUUCGAUACUGGUUAGCUAGAGUGUGGGAGAGGAUGGUAGAAUUCCAGGUGUAGCGGUGAAAUGUGUAGAGAUCUGGAGGAAUACCGAUGGCGAAGGCAGCCAUCUGGCCUAACACUGACGCUGAGGUACGAAAGCAUGGGGAGCAAACAGGAUUAGAUACCCCGGUAGUCCCUGUCUCUUAUAA
rnacentral:rRNA from 1 species